rnacentral:misc_RNA from 1 species
UUGAAUUUUAAUGAAGAGUUUGGUUGUAGCUGGCCCAUUCAUUUGGGCAUGUGCACACCUUCCUCUUUCAUCCCACACACACCUGUGAACCUGUGAGACAGAGAUGGGGAAUUUACUUGCUGCUUUUUGGAAUACAAAGGCAAUAGGUUAUUGGGACCCCCCCUCUGUCUACUCAAUUAAUAUAAACUCAAUUUAUUUUAAAACGAAUGUAAUGGAUGUAACACAUCUCAUAC